rnacentral:sRNA from 1 species
AUCUUUUACACUGCUCUCACCUUCCAACACUAGAGGCAGGGCGGCGGCGACGGCGACGGUGCACGUACGGGGGAGGAGCUCGCCGGCCGUCCACGCGCGGGGGAGGAGCCCACCGGCAGUCCCGCGAGGUUGCCGGCCAUCCAUGCGCAGGGGGAGGAGCUCGCCGGCGUCCUCUCGUGGGAAAGGAGCUCGCCGGCCGUCCGCCUACUAUGUGAGGAGCUCACCGGCGUCCGCGCGUGAGGGAAGACUCGCCGGCCGUCCGCCUGCCGGGUGAGGAGCUCACCGGUCAUCCACGCGCGGGGGAGGAGCCUGCUGGCCGUCCCGCGAGCUCGCCGGCGUCCGUGCGCGGUGGAGGAGCUCGCCUGCCGUCCGCCUGCGGGGGACGAGCUCACCUGCCGUCCGCGCGCCGGGGAGGAGCUCUCCGGCGUUCGCGGAUGGGGGAGGAGCUCGCCUGCCGUCCGCGCGCCAGGGGAGGAGCUCGCCGGCGUCCGUGCGUGAGGGUGGAGCUCGCCGGUCGUCCACCUACCGGGGGAGGAGCUAGCCGUGCUUUAAUUUGGGCAUAUGUAUAUAUCGAUCGAUCGAUGCAUAUGCAUGCUUGCAUAUGCUUUCACUGUUCCGGAUAUGUUUUUAGAUAAGCUAAGGCUGUGUUCUUUCC